UAACCAGUGUUCCUAGAGACUUUGGGCCACGGUGGGGAGAGGUAAUUGGGAUGAAGACACGAGCGUGGUGGAGACAUUUCUACCGGCGCACGCAGCCUGAGAGCAGAGUGGACAGUGAGAGAGAGAGAGGAGGGAGAGAAAGGUCUUCCUUUAUCGUUGGUUCACCCCACAAUGGCCGCUGCGGCCAGCACACCACGCUGAUCCGAAGGUAGGAGCCAGGUGCUUCUCCUGGUCUCCCAUGGUGUGCAGAGCCCAGGGACUUGGGCCAUCCCUUGGGGCAGCCGAAGGAUGCAGUGGAAGAGGAGGAGAUGUGUGAAGACAAAGACCCAUCUCAUUAAAAAUCCCCGGUGGCCUCAACCGGACUGCGCGCUCAGCCCUCUGCCUCUCUGCUGAGCCACCCGCCUGGUCUGGCCAGGUGUACUCCGCUCAACCAUGUAAGCUCGCUCCUUCUUGCUCCCUCCCAGUCCGAGCAACUGCACUCUUUCCCAGGUCCUGUCUGGAGAGGUGCCCAUCCAUCCUUACAGAUGUCCCCUCCCUAAUAAACCUUGCUAUUUUACCUCCCACUA